GAAAAGUCAUCAUAUUGGUUUGCGUGGCCAUAAAGGUACCUACCAUGCCCUUAUACUAUUCUCACUUCCAGCAGAAAAUGCUGCUUUUAUAGGACACUCGUGAACCUCUCUGAACGCCUCUGGCUUUCUCACAGUCUCUGUGGGGACUCAAGUUCCUCACCUGGAAUGCUCCUCAGCCAGCCCUCUAAGUCAGUCGAGCGGAAGGCCUGCUGCUCUUUGGGGUGCAGUGUGCAAAACUUCUCUGCUGCGGCGCUUUCUCUGACCUCAGCAUAUGCAGACACCCAACUCCCAUGAUUCUCUGUCUGGACCUCCUUUCUUGCUAUUGAUCUCAUUGAUUGUACCUUGUCCUUGUUUGUCUUCUCUCCUGGGCUAAGAGCUCCCUGGGACAGGGCUGCUUUGGUGUGCCUGAUGCCUGACACAUAGGAGGGACCCCAGGGCUUGUGGGAAAAAAUGAUCACAGAGCCAACUGUGUCCCUAAGUCUUUCAAGGGUAUCUGCAUAUCACUGGUGCAGCCUUUCCACUGCAAGAUCCCACUUUGCAAAAUUUCCAAACAGGCAGUUAAAACCCUUCCUUCCUGCAGUAGGUCGCUUUGUUUUUGAAUAUUGAUGACCUUCCGGGAUUGAUAGCUCACAAUAUGUAGGUCUCAUGUUUUGUUGUCAGGUAAACAACAACAUGUUGGGGAUUCUGUCUGUGCACUCCUACUUGACUCCUGGCACAUCUCACAGCACAGCCUGUGAACAAGCAGUUAUGCCUGCUGUGUUCUCCAUCUUAGCAGAAUUCGAUAUUGUAGGAAUAGGGAGCUU
rnacentral:lncRNA from 10 species